GUCAUGUUUACGAGGUCUACCUAUUGGUCUAGGUGCAACAGCCUUAAGAGAGUCAUGAUUACGAGGUCUACCUAUUGGUCUAGGUGCAACAGCCUUAAGAGAGUCAUGUUUACGAGGUCUACCUAUUGGUCUAGGUGCAACAGCCUUAAGAAAGUCAUGUUUACAAGGUCUGCCUAUUGGUCUUGGUGCAACAGCCUCAAGAGAGUCAUGUUUACAAGGUCUGCCUAAUG